GAUGAACGCUGGCGGCGUGCCUAAUACAUGCAAGUCGAGCGAAUGGAUUAAGAGCUUGCUCUUAUGAGGUUAGCGGCGGACGGGUGAGUAACACGUGGGUAACCUGCCCAUAAGACUGGGAUAACUCCGGGAAACCGGGGCUAAUACCGGAUAAUAUUUUGAACUGCAUGGUUCAAAAUUGAAAGGCGGCUUCGGCUGUCACUUAUGGAUGGACCCGGGUCGCAUUAGCUAGUUGGUGAGGUAACGGCUCACCAAGGCAACGAUGCGUAGCCGACCCGAGAGGGUGAUCGGCCACACUGGGACUGAGACACGGCCCAGACUCCUACGGGAGGCAGCAGUAGGGAAUCUUCCGCAAUGGACGAAAGUCUGACGGAGCAACGCCGCGUGAGUGAUGAAGGCUUUCGGGUCGUAAAACUCUGUUGUUAGGGAAGAACAAGUGCUAGUUGAAUAAGCUGGCACCUUGACGGUACCUAACCAGAAAGCCACGGCUAACUACGUGCCAGCCGCCGCAGUAA
rnacentral:rRNA from 1 species